AUUGAACGCUGGCGGCAGGCCUAACACAUGCAAGUCGAACGGUAGCACAGAGAGCUUGCUCUCGGGUGACGAGUGGCGGACGGGUGAGUAACGUCUGGGAAGCUGCCCGAUGGAGGGGGAUAACUACUGGAAACGGUAGCUAAUACCGCAUAACGUCGCAAGACCAAAGUGGGGGACCUUCGGGCCUCACACCAUCGGAGGCGCCCAGAUGGGAUUAGCUAGUAGGUGGGGGAAAGGCUCACCUAGGCGACGAUCCCGAGCUGGUCUGAGAGGAGGACCAGCCACACUGGAACUGAGACACGGUCCAGACUCCUACGGGAGGCAGCAGUGGGGAAUAUUGCACAAUGGGCGCAAGCCUGAUGCAGCCAUGCCGCGUGUAUGAAGAAGGCCUUCGGGUUGUAAAGUACUUUCAGCGGGGAGGAAGGCGGUGAAGUUAAUAGCUUCACCGACUGACGUUACCCGCAGAAGAAGCACCGGCUAACUCCGUGCCAGCAGCCGCCGUAA
rnacentral:rRNA from 1 species